rnacentral:misc_RNA from 1 species
CGGAAAGUCAUUCUUCUUGUCCAUGAUACAAAGCCUCCUUUCCUUGAUGGAAGAGUUGUUUUCACUAAACAAGCAGAACCAAUAAUGCCAAUAAAAGACCCUACAUCAGAUAUGGCUAUUAUAUCACGCAAAGGAUCUACAUUGGUGAGGGAAAUUCAUGAGAAGCAAAAUAUGAACAAGUCACGACAACGCUUUUGGGAGCUUGCAGGCUCUAAACUUGGUGAUAUCCUUGGUGUUGAAAAAACAGCCGAGCAGAUCGAUGCAGAUACUGCAGCAGUUGGUGAUGAAGG